rnacentral:rRNA from 1 species
UACUAGCGGUCCAAGUUGCAGCCAUUUUUAUUGGGUCUAAAACAUCCGUAGCUUGCUUCUUAAGUUCCUUGUGAAAUUUUACAUCUCAAAUGUAGAGCGGGCAAGGAGUACUGAGGAGCUAGAGACUGGAAGACGUAACGAGUACGUUCUAAGUAGUGGUAAAAUAUUUUAAUCUAGAACGGACUAACAACAGCGAAGGCACGUUACGAGGACAGUUCUGACAGUAAGGGAUGAAGGCUAGGGGCGCAAAACGGAUUAGAUACCCGUGUAGUCCUAGCAGUAAACACUCCACACUAAACAUUAGUACCUCUUCGGGAGGUAUUAGUGCUGAAGGGAAGCCGAAGAGUGUGGUACCUGGGAAGUAUAGUCGCAAGGCCGAAACUUAAAGGAAUUGGCGGGGAGACACUACAACGAGUGACGCGUGCGGUUCAAUUAGAUUUUACACCGUGAACCUCACCAGGAGCGACAGCAGAAUGAAGGUCAGUCUGAAGGGCUUACCUGACACGCUGAGAUGAGCUGCAUGGCCGACGUCAGCCUGUGCCGUGAGGUGACCUGUUAAAUCAGGUAACAGGCGAGACCCCUGUAUAUAUUUACUAUGUGUACAAUAUAUGGAUUGCCUUGGUAACGAGGAUGAAGUAGGGGCUACGUUAGGUGAGUAAGCCAGAAUCCCAUGGGCGACAGCGCGCGUC